CCUGUCUCCCAGCUGUCAGUUCGGGAUUCAGGCAGGAGCUUGCAGGGCUGUGUGUGGUGGAGAUGUGCGUUGGCUGGAGGGAUGGAUGCCUGCAGGAGCUGGGGAGUAACCAGAUGACUGACAGCGACUCAGGCUAGACGCGGCGUGGAGGGGCAGAUGAAUUCUUGCCUGGUCUCUCCUGAAACUGGAGGGAUCACAUCAAAUUUCUCAUCAGAUGAAACAGAAAGAAAAAGAGAACUUCAAGUGUACUUAUGGAGAUUAUCAGGAACCACAGUAAUGAUACAAAAGAAAACAUGGUGCUACCUUCCUGCUGCUCUUAAUUUCUCCCUGCAAGCAGACCUUCUAGUCGCCUGUUUGGUAUCGUUUUUUUGGACAUGCUUGUACUAAGUUAUUGAAAGUCACAUUGCUGAUUCUUAUUUUCUGAAUUCUCACAUUUCAAGAAGAGCUAUAAUCUCUCAUGCCUGGAUCGGUUUACCCGUGGUUUGACCACCACUCUAGGUUACCUUGUCUUGACUUGUCUCACAAUUCCCAAAAGAAGUUUAGCAUGUGAUCUGAAUAAUUUAUUUCUUUGAGACUUUUCUCACUCGUUGGGGAUGUUGAAGUGGAUUGUUUUUAUAUGGAGUGCCUAGAGCUGUGAUUGCAGUUAUAGAACAUGUGUUCCUUAAAAGGAUUCUCAUUAAACUAUCAAAGUACCACUUUCUGAGAAUUAUCUAAAUGAUAAUUUUUAAUAUAAUUUUAUAUACAUAUGUGUGUGUGUCCUGGUUUGGUUAAAAACAAAACCAGUUCUCUUUUAGUGAAUUUUCCUUUCAGCUAGGUUCUUCUGAGUAACCGCACUUUUCUGAAGUUGGCUACAUGUUUUUGUAAACAGAAGCAAUGGAAUGUAAGGUCGCUGAUAAAAACACACCUCUCAUAAGUGAAAGGGGCAUGUUUGCAAGGAGGGGCGAACUGAAUAGGUGACUAAAAUUAACCAACUAAGUAUUCCAUCCCAUCCACGUCAUACAUCAUAUAAAAAUGGGAGUUCACGAGAGUCUUGCUCUCUUCAACUAUGGCCGGCAUGUGAAGAGGACCCUGCCUGUCAUCCCUGUGAACCGAGGCCUGGCUCCAGUGAAUCCUGAAUUCAGUUCCGGUUUGCUGUAGAGUCCAGCCCAGGACUCCUGGGUGCCUGCCCUGCAGGUGCUGGAGCAGUUCGGAGCCGGGAAAAUUCAAGAUUGGUUUUCUGUAUUUUGUAUUAUUUUCUCUAUUUUAUUAGUAGCACUAGUAAAGUAUUCUUAACUUUU